rnacentral:rRNA from 1 species
AUUGAACGCUGGCGGCAUGCCUUACACAUGCAAGUCGAACGGCAGCACGGACUUCGGUCUGGUGGCGAGUGGCGAACGGGUGAGUAAUAUAUCGGAACAUACCUUGUAGUGGGGGAUAACUAUCCGAAAGGAUAGCUAAUACAGCAUACGCUCUAAGGAGGAAAGUGGGGGAUCGCAAGACCUCAUGCUAUAAGAGUGGCAGAUAUCUGAUUAGCUAGUUGGUGAGGUAAAGGCUCACCAAGGCAACGAUCAGUAGCUGGUCUGAGAGGACGACCGGCCACACGGGAACUGAGACACGGUCCAGACUCCUACGGGAGGCAGCAGUAGGGAAGUUUGGACAAUGGGGUCAACCCUGAUCCAGCAAUGCCGCGUGAGUGAAGAAGGCCUUCGGGUUGUAGAGCUCUUUUGUCAGGGAAGAAACGGUUGUGGCUAAUAUCCAUGGCUAAUGACGGUACCUGAAGAAUAAGCACCGGCUAACUACGUGCCAGCCGCCGCGGUAACAC